GGCCCUUUACGUUGCGUUCUUAACGGUUCAGUCACCUGGGUGCAUUAUUCACAGGCGGGCAAGGAGUCCGAGCUAGGAUCCUGAAAAGGAGGGAACAAGUGUUGUAGCAGGUCUAAAAGUUCAGAUCCAGGAAAUGGAAACAUUGCUUUGCUUUUCCUGAAUUGUCCAGUGACCUAUCCCAGGCCUUCCUUUCCAGUGAACAAUGGACCAUGCAGGUGCACCCUCCUCUUCACGGGCCUCCAAAUGACUUUCUCAUUUUUCAAAUCAUUCCUCUGCACUCACUUUCUAUAAUGGUAGAGAAAUGCAUAUCCUGGAGUCUACAGUUAAAACUUUGUUUUAUUGAGAUUAAUGUUUAGGUAGAAUCACAUCAUCCAUCUUCUCCAAUCUUCUCCAAAGACCUCAGUUUUAAAGUGUGACAGGAUUAGAGAUGACCUGACUGGUGUCAGUAAGCAAGUGAUAAUGGUCGUCUGCUUUUAAGGCUUUUAGAAGUGAGAAUGUGAUUGGAAGUCCAAGCAUAGAAAUCUGUGUGAACAUAAGCAGGAAUUUUUUUCCAAGGAAUCCAGGAGUUGAGAUUUAUUUUUAUACAGAGUUAGUCAUAAGAAUAAAAAGUACAUAUGAGUAAAGUAAUAGUC